UGUGUGCUGGCUGAUGCCCUGAACGAGGCCGUAGGUUGUAGCAAUCUGGAUGAUGUUGUGAAGGGGUUUACGUGUUCUGUCGAUGAAAUAUCCCUUCCAAUCCGCUAAACUGUGUGGACUGCAAACUGUUUUAGUUGAACAGCUAAGCGAUUCCGAUGUGUCGAAAGACUAUCUCAAAACGUAAUCACGACAGUCAUAAACGGACAGGGCAAAUUCUUUAUGCAGCUAUUGAGACUGGUGUGCUGGAAUAUGUCAUGAAAGAAGCCGUAAGUUUUGGGUAUCUGGGCAAUGUUGUGAAGGGGGAUUUAUAUGUUGGUGUGAUGGGUGAUGGCUGAUGUCCUGAAAGAGGCCAUAGGAUGCGGAGAACUGACUGAUGUUGUGACGGGGGCUAUAGAUGCAGGAUGUCCAUGUCCACACGUUCUGCCACAGAAUACGAAUGCAGCACGUGUUCUAUUGCUGAACGUCUGUGAUCUGUUGUAGAACGCGUGUGUUCUCUCCUGGGAGAAGCCCAUGCACAUUAGCAGAGAUUAUGUGCUGAAUUUUGUUCGACAAAUUUAAAUUCGACCAUCAUAUUUGUGUUUUCUGAAUAUUUAUUUUUGAGAAGAAGAGAGGCUGGUAGAUUGGUAUGUCAAACAGAAAAUGUGUAUAAGAAGGGUUAUAUUUUGAGUUUGAUGAAUAAUAAAUAGUUUAUAAACAUGGCAUAUACUUUGUGUUAAUAAUAACCCAUAUGUAGCCUGACUAAACACAACAAGAAACAUUACUGAAAUACAGCUCGAUCAUUGCUAAUACAUGGAAAUCACUUACUUGCAUUACGGGACAUUUACGUGUAUCAGAACACUGGCAUUCUGAUGGCUAAUUAUAGCUGGAUCUUUUAUGGGUGCUAUGGAACAUAUACGGUCUGUUUGCUGUAUUUGGCGCUACAAUUUCCAAUGAUCUGAGGUGUGUCUGUGGUAAGUAUCCAUCUAGGAAUACUUUUGUUUCAUAUUCGAUACUUACCUAAAAUUGUGUAAUAUUUCGGCGAUAUAUUCAUAUGCUGAUCGCAUGCGAAGUAAAACCGGCAACUUACGAAACGCAUAGCAGACGACAUAUUACUCGCCAUUUUGACCGUCAUUUCUGCCAUUGUUCCACACGCAUGAUUCACAAAUUAUGAGAUGAAAUUCCAAUCCAAAUUGCAAUUGUGACUAUUUGAACGUUUCCGUUUAUUUGAAUGAUGUUCAAAUAUAAUGAAUGUAUAUUUCAGGUUCUAUAUGAAACGCCUGAAAGUGCGAAGCGGGCUACAUGCAACAAAUUUCUGAACAUCUAAAUUUGGGAUCCGAGGGCAUGAUCAGCAUGCAUCGACAAUGCAUCGAAUUCAGCAGAGUAGGGGUGCAUUGCAGAUAAUCAGUACCAUCCAUGGAAAUUAUUGCACAAGGCACACGCCUAGGCUAAGGAGGAAGAGAAACAAGGUUUUGCAGAUCACUUGUGUAUAUUUGUGUCUAAUCUUUAUCCAAGAUGUUGCGGAGUCAUAUUUGACUUGAACUUUCCUGAAGUAUGCAAUGGUCAUGUCGCUGUCACGAACAUCGUCCUUGGGGAUAUAUACCCACAAAAAACAUCUGCGAAGUACAUGCGCUUCUUGAAAGACUUGAAACUUAAGUUAUCUUAAGUAUGGAAGUAUGCUUCAAUUUGCUUCUCGACAGUUUGUAAUGUUUCGUGAAGAACUAUGACUCAUAUAUUAAAGUGACUUGAAUAUCCAUGAUCAUCACAAAUAAAUAUAAUAAAGAAUUCAUGGUUGCAGUUCAGAAUUUCGUCCGUGUGA